UGAUAGAACAUCGAAGGAUCUGCGCGUGACACAUCGAUGUUGUGAGGCAUCACAUUUGCUUUGCAACGGCUGACGACACGGCGGAAGCUGAGUUUGUUUCAUUAUGUUGCCUGAUUCACCACAGCCAUCAGAGGAAAUUCUUCACAACAUCUACUUCUGGAGCGGUGAGUUCACAAUAGACGACGGUCCACUUAGAAGUUUCAACGACCCAGAGCAUGCAUCCUUUUAGAGAGCAUCAUGAAGUCUGAAUGCCCAACUGAGCUUGUGCCGGCUGAUGGGAUGUCUAAGGUGAACGUAAAUCUUGUCCGUAAAGAAGAAAAAUGUCCUGAGCCAGUCAAGCGCCCUGUCCCAUUUCAAGGAGGGGGAAGAAUUCUUGCUGCACCAUAUGAAAACUCUGCUCUUGCGGAUAUCACUCCUGCAGCUGCUGCUUCUAGCACUGCGACCACCACGACGGCAGCCAUGUGGUUGCGCGCUUCAACACAAGCCAGACGAUCAAUGACUUACGAGCUCAUCGACACGACAAGGCCAGGAGAAACAAGCGACUACACGCUCCAGGUCGGGUUCCCCCCUAAGCCGCUCGAUGAUGCGACCAAGACCAUCGAGGAAGCCGCCGUCGCCAACUUGGCGACCAUCUAGAGAGUCUAAUCUCAACAGGCCUUUGACCCCAUGUAAUUGAACGCACCAUCCAUCCGUCCCAAUCAUGCACAUUUACUUGCCCUUUUGCCCGUCCCUGAGCUCUCUUGGAUGCCCCUCAGGUAUUAAGAUUGUAAAAAUUGGCGAGAUCUGGGUUCAUCUGCUAUAGCGCAUGGGACAGGGAAGGUAGUUGCAACGGAUGCCCAUUAUUCAUGUUUAGUUGUUUUCAUCGAUGAAUCUCCUGACGCCGAUUGAAAUUUACGAGCAACCGGGGCUGGUUAUUAGAAGGCAGUGUCUCCAGCACUAAACCAUAUUCCCUACUAACUUAUUAUUACCUACUUGAUCAAAAUGUUGGGACCGGCACCCUCGCGCCAAGGCGUGAUUCCGUUCUAGUAUAUAGUACUCUAACAAUGUUGUCGUGCACGAAUACUACUAAAAAGCGCAAGUGUGAUGCGAUUUUCAGAAAAUGUGUUGAAUUGUGCUCC